AUUGAACGCUGGCGGCAUGCCUUACACAUGCAAGUCGAACGGCAGCACGGGAGCAAUCCUGGUGGCGAGUGGCGAACGGGUGAGUAAUAUAUCGGAACGUGCCCAGUCGUGGGGGAUAACGCAGCGAAAGCUGUGCUAAUACCGCAUACGAUCUACGGAUGAAAGCGGGGGAUCGCAAGACCUCGCGCGAUUGGAGCGGCCGAUAUCAGAUUAGCUAGUUGGUGAGGUAAAGGCUCACCAAGGCGACGAUCUGUAGCUGGUCUGAGAGGACGACCAGCCACACUGGAACUGAGACACGGUCCAGACUCCUACGGGAGGCAGCAGUGGGGAAUUUUGGACAAUGGGCGAAAGCCUGAUCUAGCAAUGCCGCGUGCAGGAUGAAGGCCUUCGGGUUGUAAACGGCUUUUGUACGGAACGAAACGGUGAGCUCUAAUACAGUUUGCUAAUGACGGUACCGUAAGAAUAAGCACCGGCUAACUACGUGCCAGCAGCCGCAGUAA
rnacentral:rRNA from 1 species